AAUACUAGAGUUUGAUCCUGGCUCAGGACGAACGCUGGCGGCGUGCUUAACACAUGCAAGUCGAGCGGAAAGGCUCCUUCGGGAGUACUCGAGCGGCGAACGGGUGAGUAACACGUGGGUAAUCAACCCCUGACAUCGGGAUACCCCGGGGAAACCCGGAUCAAUACCGGAUAAGGUGCGGAGCCGCAGGGCGCCGUACCAAAGGUAGCUUCGGCCUCCGGUCAGGGACGAGCCCGCGGCCCAUUAGCUUGUUGGUGGGGUAAUGGCCUACCAAGGCGACGAUGGGUAGCUGGUCUGAGAGGACGAUCAGCCACACUGGGACUGAGACACGGCCCAGACUCCUACGGGAGGCAGCAGUGGGGAAUAUUGCGCAAUGGGCGGAAGCCUGACGCAGCAACGCCGCGUGCGGGAAGAAGGCCUUAGGGUCGUAAACCGCUUUCAGCAGGGACGAAGCUUCCGGGGUUAAUAGCCUACGGGGUGACGGUACCUGCAGAAGAAGCCCCGGCUAACUACGUGCCAGCAGCCGCGGUAAUACGUAGGGGGCGAGCGUUGUCCGGAUUCAUUGGGCGUAAAGAGCGUGUACGCGGCUUGGUAGGUCUCGCGUCAAACGCUGCGGCUCAACCGCAGCUCGCGUGGGAAACCACCUGGCUAGAGUCCGGAAGAGGACAACGGAAUUCCCGGUGUAGCGGUGAAAUGCGCAGAUAUCGGGAUAACCCCAGUGGCGAAAGCGGUUCUUCUGGGACGGUACUGA
rnacentral:rRNA from 1 species